GGGGAAUUUUGGACAAUGGGCGCAAGCCUGAUCCAGCAAUGCCGCGUGCAGGAAGAAGGCCUUCGGGUUGUAAACUGCUUUUGUACGGAACGAAACGGUCUGGGUUAAUACCUCGGGCUAAUGACGGUACCGUAAGAAUAAGCACCGGCUAACUACGUGCCAGCAGCCGCGGUAAUACGUAGGGUGCAAGCGUUAAUCGGAAUUACUGGGGCGUAAAGCGUGCGCAGGCGGUGAUGUAAGACAGUCGUGAAAUCCCCGGGCUCAACCUGGGAAUUGCGAUUGUGACUGCAUCGCUGGAGUGCGGCAGAGGGGGAUGGAAUUCCGCGUGUAGCAGUGAAAUGCGUAGAUAUGCGGAGGAACACCGAUGGCGAAGGCAAUCCCCUGGGCCUGCACUGACGCUCAUGCACGAAAGCGUGGGGAGCAAACAG
rnacentral:rRNA from 1 species